rnacentral:tRNA from 2 species
GGCCCCAUGGCGAAAUUGGUAUACGCAGCAGACUUAAAAUCUGUCGCCCGUAAGGGCUUCCCGGUUCAAGUCCGGGUGGGGCCACCA